rnacentral:tRNA from 1 species
GUGGAUGUAGCUCAGUUGGUUAGAGCGCCGGUCUGUGGAACCGGAGGUCGGGGGUUCGAGUCCCCUCAUCCACCCCA